rnacentral:sRNA from 1 species
AGUAAAAGGUUUGCCAAAGAGUUUAUGGAGAGACAUGGAAUCCCAACUGCACAAUGGAAGGCUUUCACCAAACCUGAAGAGGCCUGCAGCUUCAUUUUGAGUGCAGACUUCCCUGCUUUGGUUGUGAAGGCCAGUGGUCUUGCAGCUGGAAAAGGGGUGAUUGUUGCAAAGAGCAAAGAAGAGGCCUGCAAAGCUGUACAAGAGAUCAUGCAGGAGAAAGCCUUUGGGGCAGCUGGAGAAACAAUUGUCAUUGAAGAACUUCUUGACGGAGAAGAGGUGUCGUGUCUGUGUUUCACUGAUGGCAAGACUGUGGCCCCCAUGCCCCCAGCACAGGACCAUAAGCGAUUACUGGAGGGAGAUGGUGGCCCUAACACAGGGGGAAUGGGAGCCUAUUGUCCGGCCCCUCAGGUACUUCCCGAAGACUCUGCUGAAGUCUUGUAGUUGGUUUUCUCA